AAGGCUGGUGCCAGAGGGGACAGCUUUCGUGGUCAUGUGACAUGACCAUAUGUGGAAAAGGGCCAAAGUUCCUUGUUCUUGGUGUGGAUCUCACACAAGGCAUUCCACUCUGGUCACCGAGCAAUCAACACCGAGUUACUCGAGCCAUCUUAAGGUAAGCAUCGUAUUACAUUUAGUUACAAGGAAGUAUAUUUGCUAUUUUAGGAAUCAAGCUAUUGAUAAUUUUUAUAAGAUUGAAUGCAUAGUUAUAGUAUUUUAUAAAGUUGGUUUCUCUCCCGAAAGUAUAUUAACGAUUAGUAAGUGAUCAUUUUAUUACCUGUUAGUACUGUUGCCAUAAUGCUUAAGAAAGAAAGAACAAAGAUGUCAUAAGGUUCCAUAUCAUGAUGUAUCAUAAUUAUCGACAUUUUCUUGCACUGUAUAGUUUGGGAGCUUUUAUUUGACAUUAAAUAUGUUGGCGCCGUUUUAUUAAAUAUGUUAGCUCAAAAGAGAUAAACCGCUGCUUUAGCAAUUUAUAUUAACUCUUGGUGAGAGGGAAUCUUAAAAAGAUCCAAUUAAUGCCUUAUUGCUUUCAUUUAUUUAUCUGUAAAACGCGACUGAUAAUUGCUUGUUUUUGUUCAGGUUUGGACUCUGGUCGUGUGGGGGCUAUACCUGUGGGGUAUACACUACUUGUAUAUUGAUUUAUAGAUCCUGGGGAUAAAUGAUCCUAUAUGGAAACCCCAGUGUUCUAAUUUACUUAUAAUUAAUUAACCCUAUUAUUAAAGCCCUUCAGAUCCUGAA